UACGUAGGGGGCAAGCGUUGUCCGGAAUUAUUGGGCGUAAAGAGCGUGUAGGCGGCUUGGUAAGUCUGCUGUGAAAGCCCAGGGCUCAACCCUGGAAUGCCGGUGGAUACUGUCAAGCUAGAGUUCGGAAGAGGCGAGUGGAAUUCCUGGUGUAGCGGUGAAAUGCGCAGAUAUCAGGAGGAACACCAAUAGCGAAGGCAGCUCGCUGGGACGAUUCUGACGCUGAGACGCGAAAGCGUGGGGAGCAAACAGG
rnacentral:rRNA from 1 species